GAUGAACGCUGACAGAAUGCUUAACACAUGCAAGUCUACUUGAUUCUACUUCGGUAGUUGAUGGUGGCGGACGGGUGAGUAACGCGUAAAGAAUCUGCCCUUUAGUUUGGGAUAACCUUUGGAAACGAAGGCUAAUACCGGAUAUUAUGGAGACGUCACAUGGCGACUCCAUGAAAGCUAUAUGCGCUAGAGGAGGACUUUGCGUCCCAUUAGUUAGUUGGUGAGGUAAUGGCUCACCAAGACCGCGAUGGGUAGCCGGCCUGAGAGGGUAAUCGGCCACAAGGGAACUGAGACACGGUCCUUACUCCUACGGGAGGCAGCAGUGGGGAAUAUUGGACAAUGGGCCACAAGCCUGAUCCAGCAAUUCUGUGUGCACGAUGAAGGUCUUCGGAUUGUAAAGUGCUUUCAGUAGGGAAGAAAAAAAUGACGGUACCUACAGAAGAAGCGACGGCUAAAUAUGUGCCAGCAGCCGCGGUAAUAC
rnacentral:rRNA from 1 species